GAGGAAUAUUGGACAAUGGAUGGAAAUCUGAUCCAGCCAUGCCGCGUGCAGGAAGACGGCCCUAUGGGUUGUAAACUGCUUUUGUAUGGGAGCAAUAAGAUCUACGUGUAGAUUGAUGAGAGUACCAUACGAAUAAGCACCGGCUAACUCCGUGCCAGCAGCCGCGGUAAUACGGAGGGUGCAAGCGUUAUCCGGAUUUAUUGGGUUUAAAGGGUGCGUAGGCGGUUUGAUAAGUCAGCGGUGAAAUAUUUCAGCUUAACUGGAAGGGUGCCGUUGAUACUGUCGAGCUUGAAUUUAGUUGCUGUGGGUGGAAUGUGUGGUGUAGCGGUGAAAUGCAUAGAUAUCACACAGAAUAUCGAUUGCGAAGGCAGCUCACAAAGCUAAUAUUGACGCUGAUGCACGAAAGUGUGGGGAUCAAAC
rnacentral:rRNA from 1 species